UCCGGCUGGGGAGCCAAGUCUAGCCCGCAGCAGUUUUUGUACAUCAGGUAGUGAUGGCACACGGCGUGCCCGUCCCUAGAGCAGUGGCCACAGAAAAUCGCCCGCAAAGCCCCCAGUGCUUCCUAUCUGGCUCUUUACGGGCAAGGCUCGCUGAAUCCUGCAUCAGAGAAACUUCACUCCCUUUCUUUAAUCCGCCAGGGUGUUAAAGGUUAGCUAAACUUGGAGCCAGGCUCCCAAAUGCUAAUGCAAAAAAAAGAAAGAAAAAGAGAAAAAAAAAUUGGUACGAAAGGAAAUUAGUAUUAAGAGGGCAAAACACAGACUCCCCAGUAGUUGAAUAGAGCAAUCAAGGAACCCUGCCUCCGGCCAAGUUUAGUCUUAGAGCAUUCUGGAAAAGAGCCCCCGAGUGGGUCGUUGGCAGCAAAUGAGCCUUCAGCAGAGGGAAUCAAGUCCAAUAUUUAGCACACUCUACUGCUUAAAAGGCCUUUGGGAGGAAGAGAGAGGAAAAGCCGUUUAGUUCACCCAAAGCUCAAUUAGCGAGGAGGGAAGAUUACUUCUCAUUUCUCUUCUGCGAUAAUUAAGAGGGCCAAUACAUUCACACAACUAGUAAUUUGGUCUAAGAUGGGACUGAAUCAGUAACAGGUGGUUUAUGUUACAUCGCAUUAACGGUGAUGGCAGGAAGUGGAGCUGAAGGAAAAGAGAAAGAAGAAAAAAGAGGCUAUACGAGGAGGAAAGGGGGAGCCCUGAGCCAAACUCCUAAGAUACCUGAAAAGCCGAGUUUCAUCCAUAAACGGCUGCAACGCCAGCCGUGCAGGCCCCCGCCAGGGCAGUCUGCUAAAGGAGACUCGCUUCACUUGUACCAAUAUGCUUUCAUCAGUGUGCACAACAGAGAACUGGGGAGAACGUGACGCCCAGCGCAGCGGGCCAAGUCCCAGCAGAGUCCCGAGAGGGAAAGGUUACAAUCCACCCUGACUGAGCACACACGAGAAUGCCCGUGUCUGUCCUUGCCGUGGAAACGGCUGUCCUGACCCAGGCUGCUGGCCCUGGCGUGGGCGCCGUCCACCAAGUGUGGGACCUGCUGAGACAGAUGCCAGGCUUCUGCUACACACGCCAGAUCUCAAUCCCGCCAUGUCCGAGGGCCCAGAGACUGAAAUCUUAAUUGGUAAUAUAUUGUAAAAUUCA